rnacentral:rRNA from 1 species
GCAUAUCAAUAAGCGGAGGAAAAGAAACCAACAGGGAUUGCCUUAGUAACGGCGAGUGAAGCGGCAACAGCUCAAAUUUGAAAUCUGGCUUCGGCCCGAGUUGUAAUUUGUAGAGGAUGCUUCUGGCGACGUGCCUUCCGAGUCCCCUGGAACGGGGCGCCGAAGAGGGUGAGAGCCCCGUACGGUUGGACGCCGAGCCUCUGUGAAGCUCCUUCGACGAGUCGAGUAGUUUGGGAAUGCUGCUCUAAAUGGGAGGUAAAUUCCUUCUAAAGCUAAAUACCGGCCAGAGACCGAUAGCGCACAAGUAGAGUGAUCGAAAGAUGAAAAGCACUUUGGAAAGAGGGUUAAAAAGUACGUGAAAUUGCUGAAAGGGAAGCGCUUGCGACCAGACUCGCGCCUGGCGGAUCAUCCAGCGUUCUCGCUGGUGCACUUCGCCUGGCACGGGCCAGCAUCGGUUCGGCGGGGGGGAUAAAAGCCCGGGAAACGUAGCUCCCUCCGGGGAGUGUUAUAGUCCCUCGCCCAAUGCUCCCUGCCGGACCGUGGACCGCGCCUUCGUGCAAGGAUGCUGGCGUAAUGGUCGUUAGCGACCCGUCUUGAAACACGGACCAAGGAGUCGAACAUUUGUGCGAGUGUUUGGGUGCAAAACCCUCACGCGUAAUGAAAGUGAACGGAGGUGGGAGCCUCGGCGCACCAUCGACCGAUCCUGAUGUUCUCGGAUGGAUUUGAGUAAGAGCAUAACUGUUCGGACCCGAAAGAUGGUGAACUAUGCCUGUGUAGGGUGAAGCCAGAGGAAACUCUGGUGGAGGCUCGCAGCGGUUCUGACGUGCAAAUCGAUCGUCAAACAUGGGCAUGGGGGCGAAAGACUAAUCGAACCAUCUAGUAGCUGGUUUCCGCCGAAGUUU